rnacentral:rRNA from 1 species
GGGUGGUAAUGCCGGAUGCUCCAGUUGAUCGCAUGGUCUUCUGGGAAAGCUUUCGCGGUAUGGGAUGGGGUCGCGUCCUAUCAGCUUGACGGCGGGGUAACGGCCCACCGUGGCUUCGACGGGUAGCCGGCCUGAGAGGGCGACCGGCCACAUUGGGACUGAGAUACGGCCCAGACUCCUACGGGAGGCAGCAGUGGGGAAUAUUGCACAAUGGGCGCAAGCCUGAUGCAGCGACGCCGCGUGAGGGAUGGAGGCCUUCGGGUUGUAAACCUCUUUUAUCGGGGAGCAAGCGAGAGUGAGUUUACCCGUUGAAUAAGCACCGGCUAACUACGUGCCAGCAGCCGCGGUAAUACGUAGGGUGCAAGCGUUAUCCGGAAUUAUUGGGCGUAAAGGGCUCGUAGGCGGUUCGUCGCGUCCGGUGUGAAAGUCCAUCGCUUAACGGUGGAUCCGCGCCGGGUACGGGCGGGCUUGAGUGCGGUAGGGGAGACUGGAAUUCCCGGUGUAACGGUGGAAUGUGUAGAUAUCGGAAAAAAAAACACCA